rnacentral:rRNA from 1 species
CCUACGGGAGGCAGCAGUGGGGAAUAUUGCACAAUGGGCGCAAGCCUGAUGCAGCAACGCCGCGUGAGGGACGACGGCCUUCGGGUUGUAAACCUCUUUUAGUAGGGAAGAAGCGAAAGUGACGGUACCUGCAGAAAAAGCACCGGCUAACUACGUGCCAGCAGCCGCGGUAAUACGUAGGGUGCAAGCGUUAUCCGGAAUUAUUGGGCGUAAAGAGCUCGUAGGCGGUUUGUCGCGUCUGCUGUGAAAACUGGAGGCUCAACCUCCAGCCUGCAGUGGGUACGGGCAAACUAGAGUGCGGUAGGGGAGAUUGGAAUUCCUGGUGUAGCGGUGGAAUGCGCAGAUAUCAGGAGGAACACCGAUGGCGAAGGCAGAUCUCUGGGCCGUAACUGACGCUGAGGAGCGAAAGCAUGGGGAGCGAACAGGAUUAGAUACCCUGGUAGUCCAUGCCGUAAACGUUGGGCGCUAGAUGUGGGGACCAUUCCACGGUUUCCGUGUCGCAGCUAACGCAUUAAGCGCCCCGCCUGGGGGNGGACGGCCGCGACGACGUAAACGUUAAACGUAAAGUUAGACGGCGUGAGACGUGCCGAACGGACGACCGACCGAGGGAGGUAGG